AAUGAGUGAUGACAACUUGUUUCGGUCCCAGAUGACAUGGAGUGAUUAUAUUUUCCCUAUUUUCUGACAUU
rfam:Picoides pubescens contig2253, whole genome shotgun sequence.